GACGAACGCUGGCGGCGUGCUUAACACAUGCAAGUCGAGCGGUAAGGCCCUUUCGGGGGUACGACGAGCGGCGAACGGGUGAGUAACACGUGGGUGACCUGCCCUCCAGCUCUGGGAGUAAGCCUGGGAAACCGGGGUCUAAUACUGGAUAUGACUCCAUGACGCAUGUUGUGGGGUGGAAAGCCUUGUGCGGCUGAGGAUGGGCCCGCGGCCUAUCAGCUUGUUGGUGGGGUGAUGGCCUACCAAGGCGACGACGGGUAGCCGGCCUGAGAGGGCGACCGGCCACACUGGGACUGAGACACGGCCCAGACUCCUACGGGAGGGCAGCAGUGGGGAAUCUUGCGCAAUGGGCGAAAGCCUGACGCAGCGACGCCGCGUGAGGGAUGACGGCCUGGUUGUAAC
rnacentral:rRNA from 1 species